GACGUCUGGGGUCUUGCCCAUGGAGUGGGAGUCUGGGAAGAUACACCUGAGUCCAAGGCUGCCUUCCCGGUGUUGCUGAGCAUGAAGUGGAGCCUGCAUGGCUAGGAGUAGAGUAAAUUCUGAGGCCCUGAAAGCUUAGUAGGGAAGGGGGAGCAGGUAAGGAGUGAAUCACCUCCUUAUCUCAGAUAGUCAACAGGGUCUAAAUUCCAACCUUUCUUUCACUUUACUUAUGCAAAUCCAUCUAUGACAAAGGAGCUGCAAGGACCUGCCUGGUGGCUAAGACACCAGAGGCCUGGUCUGGUCCCAGCCCACUACCUGCCAGCCUAUGGCUCUCCAUGUAUCUGUGGGCUGGGCCUGUUCUUUGCUUAUUCUUUAUGCUUCCUCCUGAUGGGAAGACAAACAGAAGGAAAAAGAAAAGGAGACUAGCAGGGCACCUGGGUAGUUCAGUUGGUUAAGCCUCCAACUCUUUUUUUUUUAAUUUUUUAAAAAUUUAUUUAUUUAUGAGAGACACACAGAGAGAGGCAGAGACACUGGCAGAGGGAGAAGCAGGCUCUGUGCAGGGAGCCGGAUGCGGGACUCGAUCCCAGAACCCCAGGGUCAUGCCCUGAGCCAGAGGCAGAUGCUCAAUGCUGAGCCACCCAGGCGUUCCUAAGCCUCCAACUCUUGACUUGGGCUCAGGUUAUGAUCUCAGGGUCGUGAGAUCAAGCCCCGGCUAGAUAGAGCUGUGUUAGAGCCCUACAUUGAGCUCCAUGCCCAGUAAGAAAUCAGCUGGAGAUUCUCUCUCCCUCCCUCUGCCCCUUUUAAAUACAUAUUUAAAAAGGAGAACAGCAAGGUUCCAAAUGAUAGAAAUGUCCCUCAAUGUGGGCUGUAGUAGAUCAUCCUGUGGGGCAUCUGCCCAGCCUAGACCUUCCUUGAGGGAGAAAGGUUGGGGGCCUGUAGUGGGCUGGAUGGUAACCCCAAAUGAUAAUCAGGACCUAAUUCCUAUGAUCUGAGAAUGUUACCUUACAAGGUAAAGGUUUUGCAGGUGUGAUUAAGUUAAAGGUUUUGAGAUGAGGGUAUCCUGGAAUAUCCAGGUGAACUCUAUAUGCCACCCACAAGUGCACUUACAAAUGAGAGAUGGGGGACACCGCACAACAUGGGAUGAAACAUCCUCAGCUCCCAGUGACACUGUUAAACAAUCACACAAAUGCCAGAACUGGACAUCUUCACCUUAGAUGAGCAGUUCUCCCCCAGGAUUAACUUUGCUGCCCAGGGGCCAUUUGGAAUGUUACAGUGGCAGUAAGGGGGCUGCUUCGGGCAUCUGGUGGGGCCAGGAUGCUACUAAACAUCCUACAGUGAUGUCAACCGCCCAGGUUGACAAAUCCUGCCCUAGACAUAGGAAGAUCCAUUCUCUUGGGCAGUGAGGACUCUGAGGGUAGAGCCUGGCCACCCAGAGUCAGCUCCAUCAAAAACCAAGAAACACUAUCCUUGAAGAUCAGCCUGAGUAUGAUAUUUAUGAUUUUCCUUUAAGGGGAAAAAAAAAAAAACUGUCACUUUUACAAAGUGUCCCCAAUCCAGAACUGUAAAUCUCAUUCUCUACAGCAUGAUAUAAAUAGGUCUCUCCUCUUUUUCUCCAUCCCCAGUCCCUGCUCUGGGCAUUAAAACUCUCCACUGAAAUUUAUUAACUAUCAUUUAAAGGAUGUGGGAAAGAGAAUAGUCAGUAGUAUUUACAAACCCAAAUACAUUUUUAAGAAAGUUUAGGAUACUUAAAAGGCUAAUGAAGGCUAUAUUUCAAAAUAAAACAACUAGGAUAUAAUUUGAGAAGCAAAAAUUACAGCAUGAUCUUUUCUGGAAUGUAAUUCUUCUCAAAAAAAAAAAAAAGAUGUCAGUAAUACAGUAUGCUUCUCAGGGAUGAGCUGGGCUCAGUACCGUAUAAACAUCGCCCAAAAAUGUUCUCACUAUUUAUCCUCAAGAUGUCUUAUUUUAGAAAGCAUCUUGGCAGUUGUGUCCAGUCAAGAGAAAUUAUUAGCAUCUACUUUAACAAAACACAAAAGAGGGAAAGAUAAUGUAACAACGUGGUAGCAACUAGACACACUGUAAGCAGGUGUUUAUAAGAGAAAGUGUGUGAAACUUGAUAUAAGCAAGUGAAUAAGUGCACCUGCCUCACCUAAAACUGAAACACUGUGGGACCCCGGGGUGGCUCGGUGGUUGAGCAUCUGCCUUUGACUCAGGGCGUGACCCCAGGGUCCUGGGAUGGAGUCCCUACUUCUGGAUGGAGUCCCUACGUCUCCCUCUGCCUACAUCUCUGCCUCUCUCUCGUGUCUCUCAUGCAUAAAUAAAUAAAAUCUUUAAAAAAAA
rnacentral:lncRNA from 1 species